UACGUAGGGGGCAAGCGUUGUCCGGAAUCAUUGGGCGUAAAGCGCGUGUAGGCGGCUAGAUAAGUCUGCUCUGAAAGCCCGGGGCUCAACCCCGGGAGGCGGGUGGAUACUGUCUAGCUCGAGUCCGGAAGAGGAGUGUGGAAUUCCUGGUGUAGCGGUGAAAUGCGCAGAUAUCAGGAGGAACACCAAUGGCGAAGGCAGCACUCUGGGACGUGACUGACGCUGAGACGCGAAAAGCGUGGGGGAGCAAACAGG
rnacentral:rRNA from 1 species